rnacentral:rRNA from 1 species
AGUAGUCACGUAGUUGACUCUGCUNAGAACAACGCUGGCGGCAUGCCUAACACAUGCAAGUCGAACGAGACCUUCGGGUCUAGUGGCGCACGGGUGCGUAACACGUGGGAAUUUGCCUCGGGGUAUGGAAUAACUCAGGGAAACUUGAGCUAAUACCAUAUAAUGUCUUCGGACCAAAGAUUUAUCGCCCUGAGAUAAGCCCGCGUAGGAUUAGCUAGUUGGUGGGGUAAAGGCUCACCAAGGCGACGAUCCUUAGCUGGUCUGAGAGGAUGAUCAGCCACACUGGGACUGAGACACGGCCCAGACUCCUACGGGAGGCAGCAGUGGGGAAUAUUGGACAAUGGGCGAAAGCCUGAUCCAGCAAUGCCGCGUGAGUGAUGAAGACCUUAGGGUUGUAAAGCUCUUUUACCCGAGAUGAUAAUGACAGUAUCGGGAGAAUAAGCUCCGGCUAACUCCGUG